AAAUUUUAAAAUACAAAUAUAAAUUUUAAAUUUUAAAUUUUUAAAAUUUGAAAAUCUAAAAUUUAUAUUUUAAAAAUAAAUUUGAAAUUUUAAAAUUUAUAUUUUAAAUAUAAAUUUUAAAAUUUAAAUGUUAAGUUCUAAAAUUUUAAAAUAUAAAUUUUAAAUUUAGUGUUCUACAUUUAAAAUUUAAAAUUUAUAUUUAAAAAUUUGAAUUUAAAAUAUAAAACAAAAUUUAAAAUUUGAUAUUUGAAUGUAAGAUCUAAGUUUAAAUUUUGGAAAUUUUAAUUUUAAUUUUAAAAUUCUAAAUAUUAAAUAUUAAAAUUUAAAAUAUAAAUUAUAAAUUAUAUUUUAAAUUUAAGGCUAAAUUACAUAAAACACCCUUAUAGUUAUAAAUACCCACUUUUUACUUUCACUCCUUAACUUUCACUAAUUUAUAUUUUACGGUCUCAAUAUUUCAAAGGGUUCCAUCACUAUUUCGUACAUUUUUUAUAAUUUAUACCGAAAAUACUCUUCAAAAUAACAGAAAUAUAUUAAAAGAUUAUAUUUUUCUUAUAAACUAAGUAAGAAAAAUUUUGUCAUUUUGCCUUCUUUGUUAACGCGGUACCCAUUGAAAAUAUUUUUGAAAUUAUAAGAGAGCAAAAUACAAGUUUUUGAAAAUUAGGAGGUAGAAUAAAAAUGCGGAUGUUUACAAAAAAGUUUUCUUUAUUUUAGCCUAAAUUUAAAUAUCAAAAUUUAAUUUUUUAUCUUAAAUUUUAAAUUUUAAAUUUUAAAUUUUAAAUUUAUAUUUAUAUUUACAUAUAGCAAAAAAAUUUUACCCAACAUAUUUAUAAAAUUAUUUUAGAAAAAUUAUUUUUCUUCCAGAAUUAACCAAACACUAAUUUUUUAACCAAAUUGAAUCUCCAAACAUAAGUUAAUUCUCUAGAAACCUUUUUUUUUUCAAAAGUUAGGCCUCACAUCUUUUAUGCUCUAAAUGCAAAGGACAUUUGCCUUAGUUUUGCAUGGGUACCUGACUAAUACAUAGAAAAUGCAAAGGACAUUUGCAUUAAUUUUGCAUUUGCGCGUCGAGAAAGGCAGUACGGUCGUAUCAUAUCAUCUAUUAUCAACUAAUAAAUUUUUUUACUAUAAUAGAAUUAAAUUAUAGGGAUAUAUUUUUAGGCCCCAUUUGGUUCGGGAGAUAAGCAGGGAUAACGAAAGUUAUUCCCGCUAUUUCGCCAAACGGGAUGAAAUUUGGUCGGAAUAUUUUAUCCCGAUUAAAUUUUGCUAUUCCCGGUUAUUCGGAAUAGCAAGGGAUUUGCUAUUCCACCAUUUUGGUAGAAUAGUGCUAUUCCAAUUCUCAAUUUUAAACUUAAUUAAAAUUAUAAAUUAAAUUAAAACUAAAUUAUAUAAAUAAAAUAUGUUAUAUAUUAUAAUAUAUUAUUUUUAUUAUAAAUUUAUUAAUUAUACUAUAUUAAUACAUAUUAUUUAUAUUUAAAUAUUAUAAUAAAAUUUAUAAUAAAUUAUAUUUAAGUAUUAUAAUAAAUUCUUUUUAUUAAAUUUAAGUUUAAGUAGAAUUUUUAAAAAAUUUAUAAAUUUAUUAUAAUAAAUUAUUUUUAUUAAUUGUUCCCAUCCCUAUUCUUAUUUUAAAAUUUUAAAAAUUAAAAAUUUAAAUUGUUAAAAUUUAUAAUUUAUAAUCUCAAAAUUAAAGUUUAUAAUUUUAAAUUUUAAAUUUUAAAAUUAAAUUUUGAUAUUUUAAUUUUGAAAUUUAAAAUUUUAUAUUUUAUAUUUUUCAAAUUUAAAUUUGAUCUUAAAUUUAAAGUUUGAAAUUUAAAAUUUAAAAUUUAAAAUUUAAAAUUUGAGAUUUUAAAUUUUAAAUUUUGAAAUUUCAAAAUUAAAAUUUUAAAUUUAAAAAUUUAAAAAUUUAAAUUCAAAUAUAAUGAGAGAGUAAUAUCAUUAUUUUUUAUUUAUAAAAACUACUAUCUUCCUUAUUCUAUCUUAUCUAACCAAAAGCUAUUUUUUUAUUCCCAAGAAUAACUCAAUAUUCAUCCAAACACAAAAUUGAUAUAAUUUCCGCUUAUAUCUCAAUUUAUACUUAUCCCUGGAAUAGCCGCUUUUUGCUUAUCCUCGAAUCAAACGAUACCUUAGAACAUUUUUGUGUAAAUAUCCCAUAUAUACUAAAAAUUUUUUAAAAAAUUUACUAAUACCUAAAUAUAAAGUCCAAUCUAACCAAAAAUAAAAAGUUCCUCUACUCAAGUAACCCCACCCAACCCACUAAGCCUAAUUACAAAUAGAAAAAAAAAUAAAAAAUGAUCACUAUCUUUCCUUCGUCUCUUCCUCCUCCGCCGCCGCAGCCGACGAAGUAGAGUUCCGACGGCCGGAGUUUGGCCGCAAGAAUCUCGCAGGAACCGUAGAGGGUUACGAUCGCCACGCGUCCCUCCGUCACAGGUUACCAAAUAUCGAGACGACUCCACAUACAGCGACUCCACAUAUAGCGACAAUUUCAAAAAGUGUCAGUAAUUUAGCCACCAGUAUUUCUUUUACAUGUAUCAAUAUUUAAAAAUAUCGUUAUACACCAUUUUUAUUAAAGUAUUUUUAAUAAAAAUAUAAUAAAAUAUUUUUUAAAAAAAAUUAUGAUAAGAUGGGCAAACUUCAGGAAUGCAUUUUAAUUGAUGAAGACUAUCUUCAGCAAUAUAACUGUCAUAUUUUGAAUUUAUUUUUGUGCAUAACUAGUAGAAGACGUGCCUAAAUUGUGUGUUUGUGUGUGUAAGACAUACACAGUUAAUGCAAAGGACAAUAGCUGUGUGCAAAGGACUUAUGGAUAAGUUGAUAAUGAAGAAAAGGAUAAACUUCAAAUAUCAUCAUGUAGUUUCACAUUUUUUUACUUUAGUAUUUUGUGAUUUAAAGUAUAUCAAGUUAGUAUUCUGUAAUUUUAUUUUUAUCCUUUCAUUAACUUUUCGUUAAUAUUUCAUUAAUUAUAUACAAAAAAUUUCAGAUAUCUCAUCUAUAUUUAUCGAAUAAUCACUUUAGUAUUAUUUAGUUUUAACUUUAUCAUUAAUUUAAUAAAAAAAAUUAGUAAAAUCGAUAAUAAAAAAAUAUAAAAAAAUUAUAGGGCACUAAAUUGAUACAAUUUAAAUUAUAAAUUACUAAAAUGAGAAAAUAUGAAACUACAUGAGUGAUUUUUGAAGUUUUUUCUAAAGAAAAUUGUGGGACGGAAUA
rnacentral:lncRNA from 1 species